rnacentral:misc_RNA from 1 species
AGAGGACAUUCCAUUCCAAUGCAUUCCAUUCCAUUCCAUAGCAUUCCAUUGCAUUCGAUUCCAUUCCAUUUGAUGCCAUUCCAUGACAUUCCAUUCCAUUCGAGUCCAUUCCGUUCCAAUUCAUUCCAUUCCGUUUCAUGAAAUUCGAGUCCUUUCCAGUACAUUUCAUUCCAAUCCCAUCCAAUCCAAUCUACUCCAUUCAAUUCCUUUCCAUUCCAUUUGAUUUGAUUCCAUUGAUUUGAUUCCAUUCAGUUUGAUUCCAUUCCGUGAAAUUUCGUUCCAUUCUAUUCCAUUACAUUACU